rnacentral:rRNA from 1 species
ACGCACGUGGAGAGCACGAGUCGGGAAUGGAAAUACCGGUACAAGCGGAGAAGGAGUCUGGUUGGCAAAUCCGCCAGGCAAUCCGAAGACGUGAUGUGGAGCGAAUUAGAGUAGCGAAGCGUGUGAGCCAUGUGCCGAGAAAAGCCGCUAUUGUUUCAUGUGUGCCCGUACCGUAAACCGACACAGGUGGAUGAGGAGAGAAUCCUAAGGCCGGCGGAAGAAGCAUUGUUAAGGAACUCGGCAAAAUGACCCCGUAACUUCGGGAGAAGGGGUGCCUGCUAACGCAGGCCGCAGAGAAUAGGCUCAAGCAACUGUUUAGCAAAAACACAGGUCUAUGCGAAACCGAAAGGUGAAGUAUAUGGGCUGACGCCUGCCCGGUGCUGGAAGGUUAAGAGGAGAGGUUAGCGCAAGCGAAGCUUUGAAUUUAAGCCCCAGUAAACGGCGGCCGUAACAAUAACGGUCCUAAGGUAGCGAAAUUCCUUGUCGGGUAAGUUCCGACCCGCACGAAAGGCGUAAUGAUUUGAGCACUGUCUCGACAAUGCAUCCGGUGAAAUUGAAGUACCAGUGAAGAUGCUGGUUACCCGCGCCAGGACGGAAAGACCCCAUGGAGCUUUACUCCAGUUUGGUACUGGGAUUCGGUACUGCAUGUACAGGAUAGGUGGGAGACUAAGAACUUGGGACGCCAGUUUCAAGGGAGUCGCUGUUGGGAUACCACCCUUGCAGUAUUGGAUUUCUAACCAGCCGCCGUGAUCCGGCGGUGGGACAAUGCCAGGCGGGGAGUUUGACUGGGGCGGUCGCCUCCGAAAGGGUAUCGGAGGCGCUCAAAGGUUCCCUCAGAAUGGUUGGAAACCAUUUGAAGAGUGCAAAGGCAGAAGGGAGCUUGACUGCGACACCGACGGGUGGAGCAGGUAGGAAACUAGGACUUAGUGAUCCGGUGGCAUAAAGUGGGAUUGCCAUCGCUCAACGGAUAAAAGCUACCCUGGGAUAACAGGCUUAUCACUCCCAAGAGUUCACAUCGACGGAGUGGUUUGGCACCUCGAUGUCGGCUCAUCGCAUCCUGGGGCUGUAGCAGGUCCCAAGGGUUGGGCUGUUCGCCCAUUAAAGCGGUACGCGAGCUGGGUUCAGAACGUCGUGAGACAGUUCGGUCCCUAUCCGGCGCGGGCGGAGGAUAUUUGAGAGGAGCUGUCCUUAGUACGAGAGGACCGGGAUGGACGGACCACUGGUGUAUCUGCUGUCGACCAACGGCAUGGCAGAGUAGCCAAGUCCGGAAGGGAUAAACGCUGAAGGCAUCUAAGCGUGAAGCCCCCCUCAAGAUGAGAUAUCCCUCACAUAAGUGAGUAAGAUCCCUUGAAGACUACAAGGUAGAUAGGGCAGAGGUGGAAGCACGGUAACGUGUGGAGCUGACUGUUACUAAUCGAUCGAGGGCUUGUC